rnacentral:rRNA from 1 species
CCUACGGGGAGCAGCAGUCGAGAAUCAUUCACAAUGGGGGAAACCCUGAUGGUGCGACGCCGCGUGGGGGAAUGAAGGUCUUCGGAUUGUAAACCCCUGUCAUGUGGGAGCAAAUUAAAAAGAUAGUACCACAAGAGGACGAGACGGCUAACUCUGUGCCAGCAGCCGCGGUAAUACAGAGGUCUCAAGCGUUGUUCGGAAUCACUGGGCGUAAAGCGUGCGUAGGCUGUUUCGUAAGUCGUGUGUGAAAGGCGAGGGCUCAACCCGCGGAUGGCAAAUGAUACUGCGAGACUAGAGUAAUGGAGGGGGAACCGGAAUUCUCGGUGUAGCAGUGAAAUGCGUAGAUAGCGAGAGGAACACUCGUGGCGAAGGCGGGUUCCUGGACAUUAACUGACGCUGAGGCACGAAGGCCAGGGGAGCGAAAGGGAUUAGAUACCCCUGUAGUC